rnacentral:rRNA from 1 species
GUGAGUAACACGUGGGUAACCUACCUAUAAGACUGGGAUAACUUCGGGAAACCGGAGCUAAUACCGGAUAACAUUUGGAACCGCAUGGUUCUAAAGUGAAAGAUGGUUUUGCUAUCACUUAUAGAUGGACCCGCGCCGUAUUAGCUAGUUGGUAAGGUAACGGCUUACCAAGGCGACGAUACGUAGCCGACCUGAGAGGGUGAUCGGCCACACUGGAACUGAGACACGGUCCAGACUCCUACGGGAGGCAGCAGUAGGGAAUCUUCCGCAAUGGGCGAAAGCCUGACGGAGCAACGCCGCGUGAGUGAUGAAGGGUUUCGGCUCGUAAAACUCUGUUAUUAGGGAAGAACAAACGUGUAAGUAACUGUGCAUGUCUUGACGGUACCUAAUCAGAAAGCCACGGCUAACUACGUGCCAGCAGCCGCGGUAAUACGUAGGUGGCAAGCGUUAUCCGGAAUUAUUGGGCGUAAAGCGCGCGUAGGCGGUUUCUUAAGUCUGAUGUGAAAGCCCACGGCUCAACCGUGGAGGGUCAUUGGAAACUGGGAAACUUGAGUGCAGAAGAGGAAAGUGGAAUUCCAUGUGUAGCGGUGAAAUGCGCAGAGAUAUGGAGGAACACCAGUGGCGAAGGCGACUUUCUGGUCUGUAACUGACGCUGAUGUGCGAAAGCGUGGGGAUCAAACAGGAUUAGAUACCCUGGUAGUCCACGCCGUAAACGAUGAGUGCUAAGUGUUAGGGGGUUUCCGCCCCUUAGUGCUGCAGCUAACGCAUUAAGCACUCCGCCUGGGGAGUACGACCGCAAGGUUGAAACUCAAAGGAAUUGACGGGGACCCGCACAAGCGGUGGAGCAUGUGGUUUAAUUUGAAGCAACGCGAAGAACCUUACCAAAUCUUGACAUCCUUUGAAAACUCUAGAGAUAGAGCCUUCCCCUUCGGGGGACAAAGUGACAGGUGGUGCAUGGUUGUCGUCAGCUCGUGUCGUGAGAUGUUGGGUUAAGUCCCGCAACGAGCGCAACCCUUAAGCUUAGUUGCCAUCAUUAAGUUGGGCACUCUAGGUUGACUGCCGGUGACAAACCGGAGGAAGGUGGGGAUGACGUCAAAUCAUCAUGCCCCUUAUGAUUUGGGCUACACACGUGCUACAAUGGACAAUACAAAGGGCAGCUAAACCGCGAGGUCAUGCAAAUCCCAUAAAGUUGUUCUCAGUUCGGAUUGUAGUCUGCAACUCGACUACAUGAAGCUGGAAUCGCUAGUAAUCGUAGAUCAGCAUG